rnacentral:rRNA from 1 species
AUUGAACGCUGGCGGCAUGCCUUACACAUGCAAGUCGAACGGUAACAGGUCUUCGGAUGCUGACGAGUGGCGAACGGGUGAGUAAUACAUCGGAACGUGCCUAGUAGUGGGGGAUAACUACUCGAAAGAGUGGCUAAUACCGCAUGCGAUCUACGGAUGAAAGCAGGGGAUCGCAUGACCUUGUGCUACUAGAGCGGCCGAUGGCAGAUUAGGUAGGUGGUGGGAUAAAAGCUUACCAAGCCGACGAUCUGUAGCUGGUCAUGAGAGGACUAUCAGCCACACUGGGACUGAGAAACGGCCCAGACUCCUACGGGAGGCAGCAGUGGGGAAUUUUGGACAAUGGGCGCAAGCCUGAUCCAGCAAUGCCGCGUGCAGGAUGAAGGCCUUCGGGUUGUAAACUGCUUUUGUACGGAACGAAAAGCCCCGGGUUAAUACCCUGGGGUCAUGACGGUACCGUAAGAAUAAGCACCGGCUAACUACGUGCCAGCCGCCGCGGUAA